GAAGCUUGGAUGACUGUCAAGAGUUUGCCCUGACAAACUUAACUGGCCAAAUGUCACUGGUCUUUAAAGCUACCGUGUCUUUACUCUGUCCUAAGCUUCUGGGGAACACUGCUUAGAAUCAUAGAAUGACAAGGUUGGAAAGGACCUACGAGAUGGUCUAGUCCAACCAUCCUCCCGUUACCCUUGCUACCAUGAGCUACUAAACUGUAUCUUGUAGGUCCUCAUCCAGACGCCUUUCUUUUCCCUGACAGUGUUCAAGAGGCUUCUUUAGCACCACUCCUGCUGAGCCCCCAGUACCAAGGGACUUGAGAUGGGAGAAAGAAUUAGAUGCUGAAGUGGCUCUGCAAAGUAUCCCGUUCUAUAACGGCACUCGUGAAAUAUCACGUUUCUGAAGAAACGAAACAUGCAGUUGAGGCAAAGGUCAUGUUCAGCAGUGUUGUCAGGCUUCAUUGUGGUAUUGGUGACUCUGCUUUUAAAAGUAAAAAUGGAUUCUUUCUUUCUGUUCCAUCUUUCAGAGAAUUUUCUUCUCCAAAAUAUUAUAAAUGUUGCAUCAUACGUGCAAAGACCUUUCUUUUACUGCAGAUAUAGGGCUGAGUGUCAUAAUUGAUAAAAGGAUACCAAGAUAAACAUCCAACCUUGGGCGUUUAUUAUUAAGGUUACAUUUAAAGUCUAAAUACAGAAUGCGUGGAAGUUAGCAGCUGAACCACUGAAGCAGCCUUUCUGCUAUACAGUGCAGUGUGUAAAUACCAGGGGAUCUUGAGGAGAGCGUUUAUGUUCUUGUUUUUGGACUGACAUUAAAGGCUUUGAAAAAUGAUUUCAUCUACAUUUAUUUUUGCAGUGUGUUCUUUUUCACUGUAACAUUGAAAAGGUUGUUUCUGCCUUAAUUGUAGCAUCUCCGUUUUGUAUUCUGGUUUUGUCUGCUUUCUAAAGUAUAGGAAUUAGGGAUCUGUAUUCUCGGUCUUAAACCUCUUUGUAACUUCUAGCUGUUACUUAUUUAUUAAUCUAUGCAUUUGGUAGUGCUAGACAGAGAUGACAAAGUGGCUAGCUUUUGCAGAGUAAGAAAGAGAGGAUCCAGCAAUUUUGCAUCUUUCAAGUAGUUUUAAGGAAAGGCUAGUGGAUAAAUCCUGGCAGAAAUGUUUAUGAAAGCUGUUCAUUUCUUCCCUCUUCACUUCUUGUAAUGAGAAGAUAUUUUGCAAAGGCUCACCCUUACCCUCAGAAAGCUGUCUUCUAGUAUUUUCUUGUUAAUGAAAUUUUAAGUCAAUGAGCUGUUCCCAAAUAGUAAUAGGCCAAGCCAGGAUGUGCAUUAGCAGGCUAAUGGCAGGCAUCCUCCCUUGCUGAAGGCAGUGUGUCUCAUGGCAGUCCUCUAGGAGUUGGCUGCAUCACUUGGAGCACUUAAUGUUGGCUCUGCUAAAGCACUUCUUGUCCUCCCAUCAUCUCCUUUGGGAGACUUCUCCAUUGACUAAUAGAUCUCACUUGUCAGGAAGCCUUUCCUGUUCUUCAGUCUUACUGAUCUCAGUUCCAAUACAUCUAACUGUAAUUUCUUCGACUACUCUUUAAUGAAAUAUUAAUAAAGAGAGGCAAAAAGCCAUCACAUUUAUAUUCAUACCAAAAAUGGAAACUAAUCUGUAGUUUGGUCUUCAUUGUAAGACUUGUGGAACUAACUGUUCAACAGUAGUAGUUAAAUGCUGCCUGCAUAUGCAUCAGGCUGAUACUGUCAGGACCUGAAGUUGGCUUGCAUAAAUCCAUCCAUAAAUAAAACUAUUGGGACUUGGAAUCUGUCAGGAACCGGUGUGUGUGUGCCUGUGACAUGUGCAAAAGCUGGCAGCUACUGAAAGCAAAGCUGACCUUCCUGGGGCUCCUGGGACGUUUGCGAGGUUGCACAGUGCAGCACUGGUUGAGGUGUCAUGGAGAAACCAGGGCUCUGGGUGUGGGAGGGGAACCACCGGGGCUACAUUUUGUGAGAAGAAUGGUGUUGGUGUGGCAGCAGCCUGCAUAGCUCCAUCCGGUGCAGUGGAAGCUGCUUGCAGCCAUUAUUGCCACCAAGAGAGGCUGGUGUGCAGGAAGCAGCUGAGAGAGGUUUGCACAAGGACUUUUUGUUUGGUUGCUCACAUCAUAUCAGUGUUUGGGCUAUUGAAAGGGAUUUGGCCUUUGGAUCUUGCUUGCAUCUCUAUUUAUUUUUGCCUAUUCUCAGUUCUCUUUGUGAAUACCAAUUUUCUGAGUCACCCAGAAUGAUUCCUGCCUUCAUUAGGGAUUCUUUCCAGCUUCCCUUUAACUGCCUGUAGGCUGCUGCCUGCCCCUGCCUCCCCCUGUGCACUUUGCUGCACAGACUUAGCUCUCAGUGUUCUGUAAGUCAUCUCAGGCAGCUGAAUACCUUCAUCCACAUGAAACUGUACUGUACCUUUGGCUCUUUGCAUAGCUUACAUUCUUCACCUGGCUUGUUCUGUGCCAUCCCUGCAACCCCUGGCAUUUAAGGUGUGGUAUGAGGCCAUAGUUUAUUCCAGGCCUACAGUAACUGUGCUUGAGGCUGUUCGAGUGAAAUGGUUAAAUCAGGAAGCUGAGCAUCCAGAUCCUUUAAUCUCUUUCUGUUACACUGUGUCCUUGUGUGUCAUCCUGGAUAAACCCAUUUACCUACUGGUGUCUUUAUUUCUUUGAUAUUCGUUAGUGUUUAAAUUGUCUACAAUAUCUACACCACACAAACAGGACAGCUUUUUUAGAAACCUAAAUUAAAAGAUGCAAUAUAAAUAAGAAGUAAUUGUAUGUUCUUUAAUGGGUAUUCUUACUUGAGUUGCUGACCUCUGUGGUACUCAAAAGCUUGUCAACAAGAAAUCAAAAAAUCAAUAAGGAAAAUAACCUGGGAUGGAGGAUGGGUCUCUAAUUGCAGCACUGAGUGUCAAUAGGAUAAAUGUCUUAAUGCUGAUUAAUGACUGUCCGUAAUGGUAUUCAAAAAAUGUAGGUUUGCUGUGGCUUUUUCAAAGUCCAGAUGAGCUGCUUGGAGCUCUGCUAAUGAUGCAAAUUAUUUAACGCUCAUUUGUAUGCAGUAUGCUCCUGCUUUGAAAGUACUUCACAGAAUUCAAGCCAAAUUCAGCCUUACAGCUCCACUGAAGUCAGUGCUUGUUUGUGCAUCUGUUGAUUGCUUUUCUUUUCUUUUUUCUUUUUUUGGCUUUUUUUUUUAUUUUGUUCUGUUUGAAGAGUUAUUUUCUUGUUGCACUGAUUUUAUUUUCUUAAAGGUAAUAUCUGCAAGGGGUUUGUAGUCACUUCUCCCCUCCCCAGUAAAGUAGCUGUAAGUACAAAUGCAGUUCUGUUGAUUCUCCCAUCUCCUUCUUAAGCCCUACAAAUGAGGACAAGCUAAGCAGAAAAUAGAGUUUUGUGUUCUUUCCUUUCUACUACUUUGCACCUCCUAAGCACAGUUUUGGUGACAUAUGGCACUUCUCCUAAAAAAAUGUCCUGCAAAGAAUCUCUGCCUGCCAUCUGAUGUAUCCAAGAAACUGAGUUCCUGUGGCCCAUUUCUGGAUUAACCCAACAUGAACUGAUGAAGGCCCAGGACAUGCACAAUUCUGCAGCACAGCUCUCCCAGCCUCCCAGCCUGUGCUCAUCGCAGUGCUCUCUACAACAUGGCUCCUCCUCCCGAGCUGCCUGCCCAUUCCUUCUGGCCCGCAUCUC
rnacentral:lncRNA from 1 species